rnacentral:lncRNA from 1 species
GCCGCCUGAGGGGACUCGUCCGGGGCCCCGCCCUCAGAGCUCACACCCGCCGUGCGCUCUCGCCCCGGGGCCGCCCCGCCGACCUCCCGCGCGGCUCUGCGCGCACAGGCCGGACGCUCGGAGCCGGCGCCGGGCCGCCCUGCUCGGCCUCCUGGGCGCAGCGGCGCCUCUGGACCGAGCACGCGCACCAGCGGCCUCCGCUCAGGCUCCGUGCCCGCGCACGCGCCCUCGCGUCGCGCUCCUGGCUGAGAGACCUGCGCUCGGGCUGGGCUCCGGGCGGUUCUCGCGUUGUCGUUCCACCGGGACUUCCGCGCUUCGGUGGCCUUUCGGACGAGCCGCCGCGCCCAGAGAUGUUCAGGUUGGAGCGACACUUCCCAGACGGCAGCGGUCACGCCAGCUCUUUGGCUUCCAUUCCGUUUUCGCGCGGUUCUCCCUCUUCGCAAGUGAUGUCAUUCUGACUGCAGUCACCACUGUCGGGUUGUGAUUAAACUCUGAUGACCUAUGAGAGCACCGUGAUGUAAGAAACCCUGGCCUUGUUAGCUGUCACUUCCUAUCCCUCGUCCUCCCAUACUAAACCACUAACCUGGCUUCUGUCUCCAUGGAUUUGCUGACUCUUGAAAUUCAGUCUACAUGGAAUCAUGCAUCAGUUUUUCUGGAAUUGGAAUAUUGAGUACUUCCUGACCCAGUUCUAUGUCUUUUCUAACCUGUUCAACCUCACCUGACCCCAAGGCCAUGAG